rnacentral:rRNA from 1 species
UGGCGGCAGGCUUAACACAUGCAAGUCGAGCGGUUUAAUGUACUUGUACAUUAGAUAGCGGCGGACGGGUGAGUAAUACUUAGGAAUCUACCUAUUAAUGGGGGACAACAUUUCGAAAGGGAUGCUAAUACCGCAUACGCCCUACGGGGGAAAGCAGGGGAUCUUCGGACCUUGCGUUAAUAGAUGAGCCUAAGUCGGAUUAGCUAGUUGGUGGGGUAAAGGCCUACCAAGGCGACGGUCUGUAGCGGGUCUGAGAGGAUGAUCCGCCACACUGGGACUGAGACACGGNCCAGACUCCUACGGGAGGNAGCAGUGGGGAAUAUUGGACAAUGGGGGGAACCCUGAUCCAGCCAUGCCGNGUGUGUGAAGAAGGNCUCGUGGGUGUAAAGCAC